CCAAUAGCGUAUAUUAAAGUUGUUGCAGUUAAAAAGCUCGUAGUUGAAUUUUAGGCCUGGCCGGACGGUCCGUCUCUGGCGAGUACUGUUCUGUCGUCGGGUCUAUCCUUCUGGUGAGCCGGUAUGUUCUUAAUUGGGCGUGUCGGGGAGCCAGGACCAUUACCUUGAAAAAAUUAGAGUGUUUAAAGCAGGCUUUUGCUUGAAUAGAUUAGCAUGGAAUAAUAGAAUAGGACGUUGUGGUUCUAUUUUGUUGGUUCAAGGACCACCGUAAUGAUUAAUAGGGAUAGUUGGGGGCAUUAGUAUUCAAUUGUCAGAGGUGAAAUUCUUGGAUUUAUUGAAGACUAACUAUUGCGAAAGCAUUUGCCAAGGAUGUUUUCAUUAAUCAAGAACGAAAGUUAGGGGAUCGAAGACGAUCAGAUACCGUCGUAGUCUUAACCAUAAACUAUGCCGACUAGGAAUCGGGCGACGUUAUUUUCACGACUCGCUCGGCGCCUUAUG
rnacentral:rRNA from 1 species